CAUCUGGAGGGGUUUCAAGUGACAGCUGGUCUUUAAACUCACUAUCACACAUACAGAUUAAUCAUUACCUGGCUGCUGUCCUAGCUUCCAAUCAGUUCCACUUUAUUGACUUAGCCUGGGCUCAACAAUGGUUUAUUAAUCUUGCCUUUGUGUCUACAUAGCAGCCUUAUUGUGAUGAAAUAGUUCCCCAUUUUCUUAGCCAGGGUAGUGCUGUAAGGCACUGAGGACUUUGUUAGCUGGGGCUGUGGUCUGCAGACUGGAGCAAAGAUGCAAGCCCUUCUGCAAGCAUGGACCUGAGAGCCUGGGACUGUGAUGCAGAACUUCCAAAGGUUUAUUUUUAGGGAGGCAACCUGCAUAUGAGGAGAAAAAAGAGCCCAUUAUAAAAAGUAGAGGCAGUCAAAUAGCAGCUGUAAAAACUAAAACUUACAACAAUACAACAAACAGAAAAUUA